rnacentral:rRNA from 1 species
CCGGCCACAGCUCAAUUUGAAAUCUGGCCCUCCCCGGGGUCCCGAGUUGUAAUUUGYANAGAGUGUUUCGGGUGAAGGCCGCGGUCUAAGUCCAUUGGAACAUGGUGUCAGAGAGGGUGAGAAUCCCCGUACGUGACCGUGGUCCGAGCCCAUGUGAAGCCUCUUCGACGAGUCGAGUUGUUUGGGAAUGCAGCUCAAAAUGGGUGGUAAAUUUCAUCUAAAGCUAAAUACUGGCUGGAGACCGAUAGCGCACAAGUAGAGUGAUCGAAAGAUGAAAAGCACUUUGGAAAGAGAGUCAAACAGUACGUGAAAUUGUUGAAAGGGAAGCGCUGGCAACCAGACCUGCCCGUGGGCGAUCAGCCGCCGUUCUCGGCGGUGCACUCGCUCCGCGAUCAGGCCAGCAUCGGUUCCGGCGGUCGGAUAAAGGCCUUGGGAAUGUAGCUCCCCUCGGGGAGUCUUAUAGCCCUUGGUGCAAUGCGGCCAGCUGGGACCGAGGACCGCGCUCCGGCUAGGAUGCUGGCGUAAUGGUUGUCAGCGACCCGUCUUGAAACACGGACCAAGGAGUCUAACAUCUAUGCGAGUGUUUGGGUGUCAAACCCAUGCGCGGAAUGAAAGUGAACGGAGGUGAGAACCCUGAAGGGCGCAUCAUCGACCGAUCCAGAUGUCUUCGGAUGGAUUUGAGUAUGAGCAUAGCUGUUGGGACCCGAAAGAUGGUGAACUAUGCCUGAAUAGGGUGAAGCCAGAGGAAACUCUGGUGGAGGCUCGCAGCGGUUCUGACGUGCAAAUCGAUCGUCAAAUUUGGGUAUAGGGGCGAAAGACUAAUC